rnacentral:rRNA from 1 species
UGAGGAAUAUUGGUCAAUGGGCGAAAGCCUGACCCAGCAACGCCGCGUGAAGUAUGAAGGCCUUCGGGUUGUAAACUUCUUUGAUCAGGGAAGAAACAAAUGACGGUACCUGAAAAACAAGCCACGGCUAACUACGUGCCAGCAGCCGCGGUAAUACGUAGGUGGCGAGCGUUAUCCGGAUUUACUGGGUGUAAAGGGCGUGCAGGCGGGCUGAUAAGUCAGAUGUGAAAUCCCCGAGCUUAACUCGGGAACUGCAUCUGAUACUGUUGGUCUUGAGUGCUGGAGAGGAUAGUGGAAUUCCUAGUGUAGCGGUAAAAUGCGCAGAUAUUAGGAGGAACACCAGUGGCGAAGGCGGCUAUCUGGACAGUAACUGACGCUGAGGCGCGAAAGCGUGGGUAGCAAACAGG